GAACUGGAGUUAGUUGGCUGCUGUAAGGAAGAGUCAGAGCCUAGAGGAGCUGCCUACAAGAAACAUCAAGGAGCGUGACUCUGAUGGGGAAGGUUCCAGAGAACGCUCGCGGUGACGGGAAGGACAGACCCUGCAGAUGGCAGCAGAGCUUUAAACUUCAGCCGGAGACACAACCCCUAAAGAAAACUCCCAUUUCCAUAGACUAUUACAGCGAGACGUUUUGCUGGUAGCCAGCAGCGUGAUACUGAUGCCUUAAAAAAAAAAAAAACAACAAAAAAACCCAACAGUUUUUAUAAUUAUCAAAUAUUAUAAGGAUGUUUUUGUGCCUUUUGGAAUCACUCCAAUUUCCCAAUGUAGACAUUCCCUACCACUCUGUUUCAUGUAUUGCAGUCCCAGUGCAGAACCAGUGGUGGCAUCUGCUGUUUUCAUAACAACCCAAAGAAGAUGCCAUGUCUCUGAAUGGCUGCCUACCCCCGAUGGCAAAAUAGCAAAGAAGUAAUGUGAGAAACAGCUCUGCUGAAAAUAACUUUGGUUAUCAUCACUGGAGCGAGUGGAUUCAUUCCUGCCACAGGAGCAAUAUAAGAGGACAGGAUAAAGAGGAAAGGAGAAGCUGCUAAAAGAAAUAUACCAUUAUAUGACAAAACUACUGACUAAGUAGGAUGCUACUACUAUUAAUACUAAUAAUAAUUUUAAAAGUAGCACAGCUUAUUUUUUCUGGAAUCCUGUAAUUCAAACACAGAGAAAAAUCGUUUCCAGUUUGUUUCUGUUCAGUGAGAGACAGUAAAGGACAGAGAAUAUAACAUUGCACUAUAUCAUAGCCACUUUGCUCAAAAUCUAGCAGGCAGAAACAAACAAAAGCUCACUGUGGUUAAAAAUCUGCAAAGGACCAGCAUUGUGACCCAAAAGAAGGCAUUGGUACCACCUUUGAGCAACAGCUAACCUUUGGGAAAAACUGAAUACUCACCCAUUAAUCAGUCAAUUAAUACAAAAUUAGAUAAACUGUAGACUUUGAGACCCCUGCAAAUAAAAACAUGCUGUGAUCAAGAAA